rnacentral:rRNA from 1 species
CCGUAACUAUAACGGUCCUAAGGUAGCGAAAUUCCUUGUCGGGUAAGUUCCGACCCGCACGAAAGGCGUAAUGAUUUGAGCGCUGUCUCGACAAUGCAUCCGGUGAAAUUGAAGUACCAGUGAAGAUGCUGGUUACCUGCGCCAGGACGGAAAGACCCCAUGGAGCUUUACUCCAGCUUGAUACUGGGAUUCGGUACUGCAUGUACAGGAUAGGUGGGAGACUUUGAUGACAGGACGCCAGUCUUGUCGGAGUCGCUGUUGGGAUACCACCCUUGCGGUAUUGGAUUUCUAACCUGCAGCCGUGAACCGGCUGGGGGACAAUGUCAGGCGGGGAGUUUGACUGGGGCGGUCGCCUCCGAAAGGGUAUCGGAGGCGCUCAAAGGUUCCCUCAGAAUGGUCGGAAACCAUUUAAAGAGUGCAAAGGCAGAAGGGAGCUUGACUGCGACACCGACGGGUGGAGCAGGUACGAAAGUAGGACUUAGUGAUCCGGUGGUAUGAAAGUGGGAUUGCCAUCGCUCAACGGAUAAAAGCUACCCUGGGGAUAACAGGCUUAUCUCCCCCAAGAGUUCACAUCGACGGGGAGGUUUGGCACCUCGAUGUCGGCUCAUCACAUCCUGGGGCUGAAGUAGGUCCCAAGGGUAUGGCUGUUCGCCAUUUAAAGUGGUACGCGAGCUGGGUUUAGAACGUCGUGAGACAGUUCGGUCCCUAUCUGCCGUGGGCGCUGGAGAACUGAGGGGGGCUGCUCCUAGUACGAGAGGACCGGAGUGGACGCAUCACUGGUGUUCGGGUUGUCAUGCCAAUGGCACUGCCCGGUAGCUAAAUGCGGAAGAGAUAAGUGCUGAAAGCAUCUAAGCACGAAACUUGCCCCGAGAUGAGUUCUCCCUGACUCCUUGAGAGUCCUGAAGGAACGUUGAAGACGACGACGUUGAUAGGCCGGGUGUGUAAGCGCAGCGAUGCGUUGAGCUAACCGGUACUAAUGAACCGUGAGGCUUAACCUU